rfam:Asian citrus Psyllid, Diaphorina citri - Florida Strain, whole genome shotgun sequence.
GCUUCGGUGGUGUAGUGAUCAAAACGCUCGCCUGGUAAACAGGAGGGCGUGGGUUCAAUCCCAGCCGAGGUA